UUGACUCGCAGAGCAACAUAAAGCACUGCAGAAAGAAACAAGAGAGCAAAGAACAAUAGAUUAGAGUAAUAUCUCGCGUAAGUGAGGGCUGACUACUACCUGAAGCACUGAUGGCUGCAAAGGCUGACAGCGCGUGUGUUGCCAUGACCCUCCUCAUCAUGUGUGUUCUUGAAGGCCAAGCGCUGGACCUGCUGAGGGCAACUGCAACGUCAGGGUAUCCUCCCCCCACUCCCACAGUGCAUUGCUGGUGUAUGAGCUAUCCAAACAUGACUCUUUGCUCCUGGCCUGAACCUUCUCGCUCCCCACCAACACAUUACAUUGCCACCUACAGCGAGAGACACGGACAGCAGGUCACCAAGAAGUGCCAUCUCAUCCAACCUGGCUCUUCAUCCUCUGCUCUGAUAUCAGCAUCUUCAUCUUCAACUGAAAGGCUGUGGCACUGCCAGCUGCCCAACCUGAAACUUCUCACCGACUACAUAAUCAAUGUCACCGCUGUUUAUUCUGUUGGAAGCAGCUCUCAUCUAUCAAGUUUCAUGUUGGAGGAUAUUGUGAAACCAGAUCCUCCCCUAGACGUCCGGGUAUCCCCUCAUAAUGUCAGAAACUUGUUGGUGGAAUGGUCUCCUCCCCCUACUUGGGCUAACCUGGACAUCCUCCCCCUAAAAUACCAGAUACUGUACCAGUGGCAAAACAGGGGCACCCCAAAGUCUGUCAAUCUGGGUCCAUUUGAGAGCACCAAGGUUGAAUUGAAGGGGCUGACACCAGGAAGGCUCUACCUGUUCCAGGUAAACCACGGACUCCUGGGUUGAAUUAUACAUGAUCAUGAGGUGAAGAAACCCUAUCUUGACCGAGGCCCUGGUCUUGGCUGUCCUCCAGUCUGUAGCGGAUCUGGUAUUUGGCCUGAAACAGGAAGUCCUUGAGAGCAGGCGGGGCCUCCCAGCGAACACUCAGCUGGUCCUCUAACUGCCCGACGCGACUGACAGCCACACCUGACGGAGGGUCCGUGGUCACUGGAGGACGAGGAGAUGGAGGAGGUUGUUAAGUAAGAAGAUCUCAUCAAGAGCUAAAACAAUGAAAAUAUGCCUAAAAUCAACUGGGUCCAAUUCUCAAAUAUGAAUAUUUACUAGUUUUUUGACUGUUGGUCAAAGCCAUUUGAAUACACCACCUUUGGUUCCAGGAAAAUGUGAUGGGUAUUUUCUGACAUUUUGUAGACCAAAGUACAGUAUUAUCAAUCAUGUCGUAGUAUCCAUUAAUCAAUAAAAUACUUGUUAGUUGUAGCCCAAAUCUCAUCAUAUCUAACAAGUCAU